CCCGCGGACCCUCCCGAUCUCUGGCACUUGACAACAGUCUGACCGAACACUUCUCGGGAUUCUGGCUGUUGCUGCUCGGCCGUCGGUUCAGGGGCGGUGGGAUGGCGGUCGGUUUCCUGCUCUGCCCGCUGGCCCUCGCCCUGUGCGGCGCUGCGUUGACUUGGAAUCGCCCGGAAUGCUGGAUUGUCCUGGCAACCAGGUUGUGGUUGGGAAUGGCAGUGCUUGCGGCUGCCCCGAGGACCUUGUUUCAGAUGGAGAGGCCUGUGGCUGUCCCAGUGGUUUCCGAUUGAUGAGUGACGGCCAGCGCUGUGUGGACGUGAACGAGUGUGACACCAGCUCUGGUCCCUGUCCGGUGACUGCCAACUGCACCAACACCCUGGGCUCCUUCCUAUGCCGGUGCUCCCCAGGGUUUGUGAUGGGAGCGAGUGG